rnacentral:rRNA from 1 species
GACAGAGGGUGCAAACGUUGCUCGGAAUUACUGGGCGUAAAGCGCGUGUAGGCUGGCCAACAAGUCAGAUGUGAAAGCCCUGAGCUCAACUUAGGAACUGCAUUUGAAACUGUUGGUCUUGAAUAGUGGAGAGGGUCGUGGAAUUCCUGGUGUAGAGGUGAAAUUCGUAGAUAUCAGGAGGAACACCGGUGGCGAAGGCGGCGACCUGGACACUUAUUGACGCUGAGACGCGAAAGCGUGGGGAGCAAACAGG